rnacentral:tRNA from 1 species
GAGGGCGUAGCUCAGCUGGCAGAGCAGCGGCCUUUUAAGCCGUCGGUCGGAGGUUCGACUCCUCUCGCCCUCA